UCGUGCUAGGCGGGGAGGUAGCGGUGCCCUGUACCCGCAAUCCGCUAUAGCGGGGUCGAAUUCCCGGCCGAGGGAGUGCCGCCGACGAGUGAUCGGCGGCGGGUAGUGGCGUCGAUGGCCAGGUCCCUCGCAAUGAGAACCUGCCAACCCCGUCAGGACCGGAAGGUAGCAGCGGUACGCAGUCAUUCUCAUGUGCCGAGGACCAACCUGGCCGGAGUCAACCCCGCCGUUGGAGCCGAAGGCGCAUCACGACGCCGGGUGCGCGA
rnacentral:SRP_RNA from 1 species